CUAAGUUCAGCGGGUAGUCCUACCUGAUUUGAGGCCAUAUGUCAAAGUAAUACUAUAAGUAACACCAGAGAUGCACUUAAAGUAAGGUUUAGUAAGCAGACAAAAGUCAAGUCCUGGCCAUCCGAAGAUGUCCUUAGCAAAAUACUUAUUAUGCCAAGUCAAACCAGUCAAAGACAGAUCUAGCUAAUACUUUUAAGGUG
rnacentral:misc_RNA from 1 species